rnacentral:rRNA from 1 species
UGGGGAAUAUUGCAGAAUGGGCGAAAGCCUGAUGCAGCGACGCCGCGUGAGGGAUGACGGCCUUCGGGUUGUAAACCUCUUUCAGCAGGGACGAAGCGCAAGUGACGGUACCUGCAGAAGAAGCACCGGCUAACUACGUGCCAGCAGCCGCGGUAAUACGUAGGGUGCAAGCGUUGUCCGGAAUUACUGGGCGUAAAGAGUUCGUAGGCGGUUUGUCGCGUCGUUUGUGAAAACCAGCAGCUCAACUGCUGGCUUGCAGGCGAUACGGGCAGACUUGAGUACUGCAGGGGAGACUGGAAUUCCUGGUGUAGCGGUGAAAUGCGCAGAUAUCAGGAGGAACACCGGUGGCGAAGGCGGGUCUCUGGGCAGUAACUGACGCUGAGGAACGAAAGCGUGGGUAGCGAACAGG